AGUAAAAAUUAGCUACAUAAAUGUUAAGAUGCACGGUAAUUUUUUGUCAUAACAGCGUGAAUGCACAUAAAAUAAAUACGCAUUUGCGCUGCUACAACAAGGAAUUGCCGCGAGUGUACGGGAAUGCGUACUUGCGCACCACGCAGUUAUGUGAUCCUUAUCAUAUGUAUAGUAUAUUGUACAAUAAAUGUUAUAACAGUUAAGUUGUAUUGUUAGGUCUUUUUUAAUCAUAAUUUUCUUCCUUCAUUCCUGCUGACAGUUGGGGCAGAGACUGUCAUACGCUCUGGGUAACACUCACAGCCAGAUGCCGCGCUACAGUGAAAGAUUUACAAAUGUGACAAAAGGUCUUCUGUUUGUCCAUUAAUUCCUACAUAGAGUUUUAAUCCCGUUUACAUGAAAAGCUGUACUUAUUGUGUCCCUGACUAUUCCAAAUUUCUUUUUGCAGCAAACUGACAAACCGAAUAAGCCCAGGACACUGGAAAAUACUUGAAAAACAUGGAUGUUCCUCAACAGAUUGGUUCUGUGGACUGUGGUGCGUUCAUGUUGAUUGUUGUCACGGAUCGGGGAAGCAGGAGCAGGAAGACGGAGAAUCGGGAAACAAAGGAUUUAUUGGGGAAACCAGCUAGGAACACGGGGCAAUAGAAGUAGCGACUUAAAUGACAGGACUGGGGAAACAUAAUUUGACGCGGAGUUAAAUACGCGGAGCAGUGGACGAGCGCCCAAGACAACUGUAAGACAGACCACCUUGAAUUGUUGGACGUAACACUUGUGAUACAGAGAAUGUAUUGAAGUUUUUCCCCCUUCCUCUCCCUUUUAUCAGUAUGCACUCUGCAUGGCCUUGGUGUGUCUUGAGUAUUACAAAAUGCACCAUGAACUGUCUAUAUUAUAUAUCUAUAUUAUAUUUUUAUUUAUGUCAUAAUAUGUGAAUUUGAUCUGUUGUUUUGCAGUGAGUUGGAGGGAUUUGACAAAAACAUCCUUUUAGAAAUGCGUGAGGAAGGUCAAGACUCUGGUCUCCAGCUCACCGCUCUCUGUUACAUUUCCAUGGCCAUGUUGUCCGAUAGUAUUAUUGGAUUUUUCUAUACUAUAGUUUUUUAUGUUUAAUUAUUGCACGCUAUAUAAAUUGUUAUAAUAGUUUAUUUUUCCUUUUGAUGUGUGUGUGCUUAAAAGUAUUAAAUAUGAGUAAUAGCAAAUACAGUUUCCUCAGUAAUGUAUUUCAUGAAAUGAUAUUUUCCCAACAAAACCCAUGUAUGCAUUCAAGUCUCUUAUGGUUUGUACAUAAUAUUUGCAACAAUUGUAAAUAUUUUGCAGAAUAUGUACUACAAGCCUCUCCAGUUGCAGCCGCACCCAUAUCCAAAUUCAUAUAUGAUAUAUUUGUAUAUGUGUGUUUCAACAUUCCUAAAAACCCUUAGAUUACAUAAUAUAUCCAAAUAUAGGGAAUUUCAGUACGAGUCCUGAUGUAUUAUCCAUAAUGCUGUA